GCUUGCCAUCUGCUCUGCGCGGUCUCCGGGUGCUCGCAAAGGUGGCUGGCGCGUCCCGUCCCGUCCCGUCCAGACGCGUAGGGGAGCCCGUCGAGCCCCUGUGAGUCGGGGUUCGGGUUAGGGCUCAACGCGGAGGUCAGCCAGUCCCGGGAGUUAGAGAAUUUGCCGCCAUCCCCUGGGCAGCCCUCUUCUCAUUCUCAUUGGCCAGACGGGCGUCACGUGCCUACGCGUCGCCCAAUCACGGGCAGGAUGAGGGCCAAUCAGAAGGCUUGUCUGUAGCCGGUGGGCUUGCAGGUGCACCCCUGGGGAAGCCGGUUCGGCAAGACCUCGCGGAGGCGGGCGGUGGCGUGGGGACUCCGGAGCCGGCGGUCCCACCCCGCGGCGAGUGUCCUAGCAGCUCUUGGCUCACUCGCUGGGCCUGGACGCCAGCCCAGUGCCCACCACCUGGGGAGUGGAGGGGUCAGCUCUGGAAGGUCCUCGGCAAGGCGCACCCGCACAGCCCCGCGCCGGGACGGGGAGACCUCGACGACGUGGCAGCCAGAGACAAAAGCUAUGCUCUCCGCCCGGGAUGUUGUCGCCUGCAGCCGAAAGCCUCUCGAGAUGAAGAAGAAUGUCCGGGGUGAAAACGAAGACAAGCUGACUCCUUUGUGAAUGACCGGGAGCUUCUGCAGGGAAGACGCUGGUCCCAGAACAAGGGGGGACGCCUGGCUCUUUCUGGCUGUGGGCCCACCGCCCUCUUCCCACUGACCCGGUGGCCCCCACGGUGGUCCUGGGUGGGAAUCUCUGGCUUUAGAGUCAAGCAGACGUGGGGUCCAGUCCCGGCCCUGCCCCUUGCUAGCCGUGGGGCUCUGGGAGUCCCUCAGUCUAUUCAUCUGGGAAAUGGGGUAAGGAUGCUCGUCACACAAGGCUGAAGGAGGUGUCUCAUGGAAAGAGCUGGCCCGCGGGUGGCCCACAGGACUCACUCCAGAAACGGCCCUGGCUGUGAUCUUAGGGCUGGUGUUCAGGGCCGGGGCUCCGCUGAGAUACCUGUGUUGAGGCGGGUCUGGGGUGGGACCUGUUGUACAGAGUUGUGAUGGUAGGGUUCUUGGACUGGAGGCCGGGCUGCGAGCGAAUGACCACCUGGCAUGAAUUUCCGGCUCCUCAGGCCUCCCCAGACUCGGGGACAGUCUGUUGCCAGAGCCUGUGAUGGGGCUGGGCUUGCGGGUGGCGAGCAGGGAGCCCCACACUGAGUCUGUUCUGUGCUGGAUGCCCGGACACGGCGGCGUGACUCGAAGCCUCCGCCCCUGACAGCUUGCCAUCCAGUGGGGGAAGCUGAUGUGCUCACGGACAGUGACAACAUGGAGUGAGGGGGGGCCUGUGGGAGGACGGGGAUCGCCACCCUCCUGAGGAUGUGGGUGGUCAGGACAGGCUUCUUGGAGGAGGUGACAGUGAACCAGCUUCAACUGAACAGCGGAGUGGGAAGGAGUUGGCAGGGCAGAGGGGCCCGGGAGCGUAGACUGAGUCACCUACAGACUCGGACAGGUGGUGUGGAGUGCCGGGAGAAGGGCGGCAGGAACCCCAGGCACCUUGGUGGAAGUGGCCCGCGGGGGGCCCGAGGCUGAGGCCGCGGUGUCACCGCAGGCC
ensembl:lncRNA